CUCCCGACCCAGCCGACCACACCGUCUCCUCGCGUUUUCUCUCACGAGAGGAGGAAUCAGCGAAGAAAGCGCCGCCGCUUCACCCGCGUCGCCUCCUCCGCCGCCAUCCUUUUUCCUCCCUCUAACUCCCUAAUUCUGCCGAGCUUCUUCACCGCAACCACCGUUCGUCGUCCAAGUUUCACCGGCUGUUGGAUCCAGCGCCUCACAGCUGAGGAGGUACGCGUGCUCUCCCUCCUGGUUUGGACCAUCCGCCGCCCUUUUUCCCUUCCCCUCCCCUGUAGUCAUGUCCUUGCGCUGGCAUGGAUUUGGGCCUUGCCAGCACUCCGACCUCUUCAGCAUCUCCGCCUCGACCGUGGGCUAGGUGUCAUCGCAAGCUGCCGACGCUAGUUCAUCUCCGCCUGACGAUCUCGACCUUCUAGUCGUCUAUGGUGAGGUUCUGAUCGAUUCCGCUGGCCACCGGUGCUUCCUCCACAUCUAGCAGACCAUGACCCAUCAACUCUUGGACUGAUCCCAUAUCGGUUUGCCAUUUAUAAUAGUAGUUGACAUCAACAACUCGAUGCAUUGUGGCAAACAUGAGCAAUUGUUUCUUUCGGAUGAAAAUGUGUUGUGGUACCUUUAUACAGAUCUGCACAACAAGCAAAACAGGGGAGGUUUGUGCUUUUCUUUUCCAGCCUCAAAAUUCUGGAAUGAAGGAUAUUCAGAUAGAUCGUUUGUGUAAAAAUAAACUAGAUGGCUUUUAUUGUUUUGGUGCAAACCUGUCGGCAAUCGUUUCUAGAUCAAGCUGUAUAAUUAUGUGUGAAUCAUGCAUAUUGUAACAGCUGCAGUAGUUUAAAACUGGGUUUUUGUAGGUCACAACAAUCCCAAACCCAAAAAAGGAUAUAUCUGAUAUCUGAUAUCUGUCAGAACUUUAAUAGACCAAAAUAACCAUGUUUUCAUUUCAUGGCAUAGUUUACUCAUACCUUAGUUUUCUUUCAAUAUGGUGUUUCAAUAACACAUUACAUCCAGUGCUCAGUCCAGAGGUUCUUUCCAUGGUGUUUCAAUAAGUUAUUACAUCAAGUGGUCACCCCAAAGGAUCAAUGCUUGCAUUUCCCAUAGGUACUUUUAUGCUAGAAAAGUAUCAACCUCAGUUGAUUUGUAUUAAUGACCAUGAUUUAUUGAACUUCUUAUCAGCGUUCACAUCAAGAGUAUAUGUUAUACCUGAAUUGAUCAUGCCUCCAUAUCUCUAGCUAUACUGCGUGGAUCUCUUGUGCUUUGCAAAUGAAGUUCUACUUCAGUAUAUUAUGGCAUGUGACAUUCAAUUCGUUGAAAUCCCUUCUUAGUUCAAACCAUUCUAGAUAGGUCCUGCCAUAUGCUCCAAUGGGUGUAGUUGGGACAGUUAAUAUUUCUUUCCCUCUAAAGUAAUAUUCCUGCUUUGAUUUUUUUUUUUGGCCUUGCACUGCAUGUUAUUGGAAUUUUAGAAGAUCGAUCCUUUUGGAUUGAA